UCUGUCACCCAGGCUGGAGUGCAGUUCUGUCUCUAAAAAAUAAACAUUUAAAAUAAAAAAUGAGUAAAAAUAAAAAGUCAAUGUGCUAUCUGGACUAUACUGUCAGGAGGUGAAAGAGUCACCUUCUCUUCCUUGACGCUACUGGCGCACACACAGCAGCUAUCAGCACCUGGGAUCAAGCACACCAGAG
ensembl:lncRNA novel transcript, antisense SLC35E1